UGGGGAAUAUUGCACAAUGGGCGCAAGCCUGAUGCAGCAAUGCCGCGUGAGUGAAGACGGCCUUAGGGUUGUAAAACUCUUUCGCCUGUGAAGAUAAUGACGGUAGCAGGUAAAGAAACCCCGGCUAACUCCGUGCCAGCAGCCGCGGUAAUACGGAGGGGGUUAGCGUUGUUCGGAAUUACUGGGCGUAAAGCGCACGUAGGCGGACCAGAAAGUUGGGGGUGAAAUCCCGGGGGCUCAACCCCGGAACUGCCUCCAAAACUAUUGGUCUAGAGUUCGAGAGAGGUGAGUGGAAUUCCAAGUGUAGAGGUGAAAUUCGUAGAUAUUUGGAGGAACACCAGUGGCGAAGGCGGCUCACUGGCUCGAUACUGACGCUGAGGUGCGAAAGUGUGGGGAGCAAACAGGAUUAGAUACCCCUGGUAGUCCACACCGUAAAACGAUGAAUGCCAGUCGUCGGGUAGCAUGCUAUUCGGUGACACACCUAACGGAUUAAGCAUUCCGCCUGGGGAGUACGGUCGCAAGAUUAAAACUCAAAUGAAUUG
rnacentral:rRNA from 1 species